rnacentral:rRNA from 1 species
GGAAACGAUGUGGGAAGGCCCAGACAGCCAGGAUGUUGGCUUAGAAGCAGCCAUCAUUUAAAGAAAGCGUAAUAGCUCACUGGUCGAGUCGGCCUGCGCGGAAGAUGUAACGGGGCUAAACCAUGCACCGAAGCUGCGGCAGCGACGCUGAUGCGUUGUUGGGUAGGGGAGCGUUCUGUAAGCCUGCGAAGGUGUGCUGUGAGGCAUGCUGGAGGUAUCAGAAGUGCGAAUGCUGACAUAAGUAACGAUAAAGCGGGUGAAAAGCCCGCUCGCCGGAAGACCAAGGGUUCCUGUCCAACGUUAAUCGGGGCAGGGUGAGUCGACCCCUAAGGCGAGGCCGAAAGGCGUAGUCGAUGGGAAACAGGUUAAUAUUCCUGUACUUGGUGUUACUGCGAAGGGGGGACGGAGAAGGCUAUGUUGGCCGGGCGACGGUUGUCCCGGUUUAAGCGUGUAGGCUGGUUUUCCAGGCAAAUCCGGAAAAUCAAGGCUGAGGCGUGAUGACGAGGCACUACGGUGCUGAAGCAACAAAUGCCCUGCUUCCAGGAAAAGCCUCUAAGCAUCAGGUAACAUCAAAUCGUACCCCAAACCGACACAGGUGGUCAGGUAGAGAAUACCAAGGCGCUUGAGAGAACUCGGGUGAAGGAACUAGGCAAAAUGGUGCCGUAACUUCGGGAGAA